AUUGAACGCUGGCGGAAUGCUUUACACAUGCAAGUCGAACGGCAGCACGGGGGCAACCCUGGUGGCGAGUGGCGAACGGGUGAGUAAUGCAUCGGAACGUACCCAAUCGUGGGGGAUAACGUGGCGAAAGUCACGCUAAUACCGCAUACGUCCUGAGGGAGAAAGCAGGGGAUCGCAAGACCUUGCGCGAUUGGAGCGGCCGAUGUCUGAUUAGCUAGUUGGUGGGGUAAAAGCCUACCAAGGCGACGAUCAGUAGCUGGUCUGAGAGGAUGAUCAGCCACACUGGGACUGAGACACGGCCCAGACUCCUACGGGAGGCAGCAGUGGGGAAUUUUGGACAAUGGGCGAAAGCCUGAUCCAGCCAUUCCGCGUGAGUGAAGAAGGCCCUGGUUGUAAGACUCUUUCGGUCAGGAAAGAAACGGUACUAGUGUUAAUACCAAUGGGCUAAUAGACGGUACCUGCAGAAGAAGACA
rnacentral:rRNA from 1 species